CAAAUAUAUAUCGACUACUGAAAAGACAUGUAGAAACACGAGACUGAAGUUGCCCCAUCAAGUCAAAGAUUGGGCUAUGGUGAAAUAGCAUACUGGGAAAUGGGCGUCCUCGGUAAACAUAUUUCCAACUGGGUCAUUCCUGGGAGAAAGAUGUUGCAAAAAAGGAUUUCGAAGCUGUAAAAGUCGAAAGAUGGUUACAUAGGACCACAACAAUGCGGUGAAAAUGUUUAUUUACUCGAGUCCUACAGUAAUAUGAUCAUAAGAAGCGCUGUGGUUGAAGUUGACGCACGGUGUACCCCCAAGAAGUGCUGCAUCUGGAUUGUUUUAUCAAUGCAACCCGAUAAAUGAUCACAAUCACUCAAUACGAAUCUUUGCCAUCUAAUAUUCCGCCAUGAAGUAAGCAAUACCCCUUAUUCAUUAAAAACCCAUCCUACGCGCAAAAAGAACG